AGUCGUAACAAGGUCUCCGUUGGUGAACCAGCGGAGGGAUCAUUACCGAGUUUACAACUCCCAAACCCAAUGUGAACGUUACCAAACUGUUGCCUCGGCGGGAUCUCUGCCCCGGGUGCGUCGCAGCCCCGGACCAAGGCGCCCGCCGGAGGACCAACCAAAACUCUUAUUGUAUACCCCCUCGCGGGUUUUUUACUAUCUGAGCCAUCUCGGCGCCCCUCGUGGGCGUUUCGAAAAUGAAUCAAAACUUUCAACAACGGAUCUCUUGGUUCUGGCAUCGAUGAAGAACGCAGCGAAAUGCGAUAAGUAAUGUGAAUUGCAGAAUUCAGUGAAUCAUCGAAUCUUUGAACGCACAUUGCGCCCGCCAGUAUUCUGGCGGGCAUGCCUGUCCGAGCGUCAUUUCAACCCUCGAACCCCUCCGGGGGGUCGGCGUUGGGGAUCGGCCCUUUACGGGGCCGGCCCCGAAAUACAGUGGCGGUCUCGCCGCAGCCUCUCCUGCGCAGUAGUUUGCACACUCGCAUCGGGAGCGCGGCGCGUCCACAGCCGUUAAACACCCCAAACUUCUGAAAUGUUGACCUCGGAUCAGGUAGGAAUACCCGCUGAACUUAAGCAUAUCAAUAAGCGGAGGAA
rnacentral:misc_RNA from 1 species